rnacentral:rRNA from 1 species
ACGGAAGGCAGCAGUGGGGGAUAUUGCACAAUGGGGGAAACCCUGAUGCAGCGACGCCGCGUGAGUGAAGAAGUAUUUCGGUAUGUAAAGCUCUGUCAGCAGGGAAGAAAAUGACGGUACCUGACUAAGAAGCCCCGGCUAACUACGUGCCAGCAGCCGCGGUAAUACGUAGGGGGCAAGCGUUAUCCGGAUUUACUGGGUGUAAAGGGUGCGUAGGCGGCACGGCAAGUCAGAAGUGAAAUCCCAGGGCUCAACCCUGGAACUGCUUUUGAAACUGUCGAGCUAGAGUACAGGAGAGGUAAGCGGAAUUCCUAGUGUAGCGGUGAAAUGCGUAGAUAUUAGGAGGAACCCCAGUGGCGAAGGCGGCUUACUGGACUGACACUGACGCUGAGGCACGAAAG